rnacentral:rRNA from 1 species
UACAGAGGGUGCGAACGUUGCUCGGAAUUACUGGGCGUAAAAGCGCGUGUAGGCGGAUCCAUAAGUCGGGCGUGAAAGCCCCCAGGCUCAACCUGGGAACUGCGUUCGAAACUGUGGGUCUGAGUGUCGGAGAGGAUGGCGGAAUUCCUGGUGUAGAGGUGAAAAUUCGUAGAUAUUCGCAAAGAACACCAGUGGCGAAGGCGGCUCACUGGCCCGGUACUGACGCUGAGGUGCGAAACGUG